rnacentral:rRNA from 1 species
UACACGGGGUGCAAACGUUGCUCGGAAUUAUUGGGCGUAAAGCGCGCGUAGGCGGUUACUUAAGUCGGAUGUGAAAGCCCUCGGCUUAACUGAGGAAGUGCACCCGAAACUGAGUAGCUAGAGUACGAAAGAGGGUCGCGGAAUUCCCGGUGUAGAGGUGAAAUUCGUAGAUAUCGGGAGGAACACCGGUGGCGAAGGCGGCGACCUGGGUCGAGACUGACGCUGAGGCGCGAAAGCGUGGGGAGCAAACAGG